UACGGGGGGAGCAAGCGUUGUUCGGAUUUACUGGGCGUAAAGGGCGCGUAGGCGGCCAGCACAAGUCAGUUGUGAAAUCUCCGGGCUUAACUCGGAAAGGUCAACUGAUACUGUGCGGCUAGAGUGCAGAAGGGGCAACUGGAAUUCUCGGUGUAGCGGUGAAAUGCGUAGGUAUCGAGAGGAACACCUGCGGCGAAGGCGGGUUGCUGGGCUGACACUGACGCUGAUGCGCGAAAGCCAGGGGAGCGAACGGG
rnacentral:rRNA from 1 species